rnacentral:misc_RNA from 1 species
GAUGAAGAACGUAGCGAAAUGCGAUACGUAAUGUGAAUUGCAGAAUUCAGUGAAUCAUCGAGUCUUUGAACGCACAUUGCGCCCCCUGGUAUUCCGGGGGGCAUGCCUGUCCGAGCGUCAUUGCUGCCCUCAAGCACGGCUUGUGUGUUGGGCCCCCGCCCCCCGGUUCCCGGGGGGCGGGCCCGAAAGGCAGCGGCGGCACCGAGUCCGGUCCUCGAGCGUAUGGGGCUUUGUCACCCGCUCUGUAGGCCCGGCCGGCGCCAGCCGACAACCCAUCAUCCUUUUCAGGUUGACCUCGGAUCAGGUAGGGAUACCCGCUGAACUUAAGCAUAUCAAUGAGCGGAGGA